rnacentral:rRNA from 1 species
GUGCCAGCGCCGCGGUAAUACCGGCAGCUCAAGUGAUGUCCCAUAUUAUUGGGCCUAAAGCGUCCGUAGCUGGCCGAACAAGUCCGUCGGGAAAUCCACGUGCUUAACGCGUGGGCGACCGGCGGGAACUGUCCGGCUUGGGGCCGGAGGACCCGAGGGGUACGUCCGGGGUAGGAGUGAAAUCCCGUAAUCCUGGACGGACCGCCGGUGGCGAAAGCGCCUCGGGAAGACGGACCCGACAGUGAGGGACGAAAGCCAGGGUCUCCAACCGGAUUAGAAACCCUAGUAGUCC